UACGUAGGUGGCAAGCGUUGUCCGGAAUUAUUGGGCGUAAAGCGCGCGCAGGCGGUCCUUUAAGUCUGAUGUGAAAGCCCACGGCUCAACCGUGGAAGGUCAUUGGAAACUGGAGGACUUGAGUACAGAAGAGGAAAGCGAAAUUCCACGUGUAGCGGUGAAAUGCGUAGAGAUGUGGAGGAACACCAGUGGCGAAGGCGGCUUUCUGGUCUGUAACUGACGCUGAGGCGCGAAAGCGUGGGGAGCGAACAGG
rnacentral:rRNA from 1 species